rnacentral:misc_RNA from 1 species
UUUCCGUAGGUGAACCUGCGGAAGGAUCAUUAACAAAUUUGUGUAGUAGUUGUGGGUGGGUUGGGUGAGUGUGUGGUAAAAGUCAAUCUCUUUCAAGAAGAUUGAUUGAUCGGAUCCACAGCACACUGGGUUGGGUGGGUGUGGAGUAAAAGUCGAUCUUGAAAGAGAUUGAUCGGAUCCACAGCACACUGGGUUGGGUGAGUGUGGAGUAAAGUCAAUCUUGAAAGAGAUUGAUCGGAUCCACAGCCACAGCCACACCACACCACAGCAACAACAUUCACUGCUUGUUGUGUAUUGACUGUUAUAAAAUCACAAUGUAAUUUAGACAACUUUUAACAAUGGAUCUCUUGGCUCUU